rnacentral:rRNA from 1 species
AUGAUGAGCCAGCUGAGAAUCCAACUCACACACCACCCCAACACAACCCGGCCGGCAAAACUAGCCAGCAACGUACGUGCGGCUGCUUUUCUGCUCUCCGGACGUGACCAAGAGAAUAUGUCAGAAGAGCUGGCAAUGUUGGGACGAGCGGGUGUAGUUGGAGAUUCGUCGCACCCUCAACAUCAAGAUAUCCCUAGUGACCAUAGUCCGCAAAUGUCGAUUGAUGAGUUGCUGGAGGUAAUAAAAAGAGCCAAUGGAAUGCCGGUGUUGUUCAUUCCCUCCAGCGAUGGGCGGCUGGAAUAG